rnacentral:precursor_RNA from 17 species
AUGCGCAUCCGGCAAUUACCUACUUGGAGCACAUACUUCUUUAUAUGCCCAUAUGAACCUUGCAAGCUAUGGAAUGUAAAGAAGUAUGUAUUUCUGGUAGGAAAGGUUCAUCGGAGAAGAG